UGGUGGUUAACUAAAAAAUAAGGAAAUCGGGAGGAAACUAAAGAAAUUUGGCUCUGGGGACAGGGAAAUUUUCAUUUUGACUGUGGAAGCACUGCAGCUGGUCGUGUUCAAGCUGUGAGGGCGCUCUCACUUGCUCGUUUGCUGUCGUACCGGCUGCGUGCUCGGUGCAUGGUUUCGUGCGCCAACUUCAAACUCUUGCCGAGGAACGCGGUUUGUGGCUGGAAUGUUGUAAAACAGGACUUUUUUUACAUACCCAGAGUUUUGAACAUACGUUAAAUAUAACUGUUGUAAUUAAAGUGAGAUUACUACUCUGAAAUUUUAGGGCUAAGCAAAGAUGAGAGAGUGAAACUGCAGCACCACCUGGGGUCAUUGGAGGAAGAAUUCUGAGAAUCAAGGAGUGCUUGAGCUGGGAAGAGUCCAAGACGAGAGAGUCAAAUUGUAGCAAGACCUGGAGUCAUUGAGAAUCAAGAAGUACUUGAGGUUGACCUUUGACCAUCCAUACCGCAAGCUCCCUUCUUGCAGAACAACUCAUCGAAGGAACCCUCCUAUCGUACAUGAGAUCAAACUGAAGCAAGGCUUGGAGUCAUUGGAGGAAGUUACAUGUACUUGAGAAGUCAAGACCUCAGACAUAGCUGAGGCAUGGAGAAUGGAUGCAGUCAAAAACAUGAAGGUUCAUUUUCUACCAAUGGUCGCAUAUCAAGUGGUUGUGGCUGGUUGGUCCACAUCCAAGAUGUCCCUGGCUGAGCCCUCUCCCCAAAGGAAGGAGUAACUUCAAGAACUUAAGAUGUGCUGAUGAGGAGUCAAGGAUCAGACCUUGAGUGCAGAAAUUCACAAAAAUGAAUCAGGCUAACCUUACUCAUCUGAGAGAGUUUUCUAAAAUUUCAUGAGUACUUUACCAGUUUAUUUUGAUGUCUCAUUUCGAGUUUGAAAGGGCACUUUCUCUUUGACAUUUAUUAAGGUUGGGAUUGACAGUUGAGUGUGUCUGGUGGGCAGUGGUGGCAUGGCCUUGGACAGAAUGAUGAAGAAUGGAGACUGGGUACCAGAGUUUUUUUACACUUUUGAUUAUUUUAAUGCAGUGCUUAAGGAGAUGGACAGGUUUUAUUUUCCAGUUGUUUUUUUUUCUUGCAUUAUACGUUAUUGCUCUUUUAGUCAUAUGUGACCCACCAUCCCCAAACCAGGCAGAAGUUGGUAUUUGUGAUGUUGGACAAUUCUUCUUCUUCAGCUUUUUUUUUCACUUUAGAGUGAUCCUUGUUAAAUCAAAAUUCUGUCUGCGGUAAGCUUCUUACGGUAGUGACUGCUGUGAAACUCCCAUGAAAAUCUGAACAGUGGAAGUUCCACUAUUUUAGGGUUAUGAAGUUGCCUACUUCAGCCUGGUUUGGGGAUGGUGGGUCAUAUGUACAUGUACUCAAUCCAAAUAUAUAGACAAAGAAAAGUUGACUUGGGAUGAUGCCAUUGUCACACUCACACUGGAAUUGAACAGGGAUGAAAAAUUUUGGGGGAAUGACUCUUUCUCUGAUCACAGCACAGCAAACUGGAAAACAACUAGAAUCAAGAAUUAUGCGAGGAAACUUUAGAAUAGAGUGAGUUAGAAAUAUUGCUUGGAAUCACACCAUGUCUAACAGUGAGUACUCUGUACAGAAAGAACGGGGCAUUCCGAAACCAAUUGUGUCUUCAUGUAGUAUUGUAGUGAAGGCCAGUUAUUGGAAAUAAGUCAUCAAUCAAAGAUUGAGAAACAAUUUCAAUUUUGUAAAAAUUCUUUUAUUGACUUUUUUAUUCAAUCUUUAUAUAGUUUGCACACAACCAAGGCCAAAUGUUAGGUUAAAAACAUUUUUCCCAAAACUGAGAUGGAGACAAAGAAUGUGUUCUGCCUGCGAUUUUGUUAAAGAGCAUUUAGACCCGAACUCCCAAAGUGUGUGGAAAAGUAAAAUAUUUCAAAAUUAAGAACUGUUAAGGUUAAUAAUUUUGUUGUAAAAAACUAAAGCCAAGUAUACGUGUGUUUAUUUUGGCUGGUUAAAUUUUCCUUUAAAUUUCCCUUUAACCUUUGGUAUCAAUUUAAUGGAGUCUUGUCUUCAUAUUUCGUCUGUGUUAUUGAGAUUCUAGAAAUAAAAGAGGAACAGUGGACCAAUA